rnacentral:misc_RNA from 1 species
CUCAGAAAUAAUUUCUUCCUCCUAUGAAAAGUCAAAUUUAAAAAAUACAAAAAAUUACAUUAAUAACCCAAGUAAACUUAGUGUUAACUCCAUAUUUUCCAUUAAUUUGUGCAAAAUGAAUAAGAAGCAUCUUCCUAGCAUAUGGUAACAGAACAAACAUACUCCAUUAUCACAAUUUAAUUGGUGGUCCCAGUUUGUCCCAUGAAGGAAAUUUUAUAGUCAAUAAGACCAAAAUUUUACUACCGAUUGUCUGAAUCAAGUAAAAGAUGUUUAAUCAAAACAACAAAACUCCACAAGGAGAUGGAAAGGAAAAUCGGAUGAUUACACUAAAAAGCAUUAGUUGUGAAAUUACACUCUCAGGAAUGAAUAUUGCACAUGGCAUUAGUCAGCUGGGGGCGCCUCUGGCAGAACAAACACCUCUAAAAAAAAGGAUUUUCCAAAUGGGAACAAUAUGGGAUUGUAUUUCUAAAGCAUGAACAUGGAUGUUCACAAAAGGGAGUUGUCAUCUGUAAGAGGCAGUAUUGUAAAGCAAUCGCAAGCUAAUUUUUGGCUAGGGUCAAUAUAGCCACAAUCCUACAGUUAAUAAUUAAAAGAAGAGACAGCAAAAUCCGCUGAAAUUAUCAUCAUCAUCAUCAUCAUC